UUGACUUACAAAUGAGAAUCACUAUGAUUAUCACAUCCAGUCGCGAGACUGGCCGGUAACCUGAAAGGCUCCUUGGUUCGGACUCUCAGAUUAUCUCCUCAUCAGGCUAAUCACGGUUUUUGACCCGGCUUUUUGCCGGGUCUUUUUUUG
rfam:Pseudomonas sp. Bc-h sc_017, whole genome shotgun sequence.